UUCUUCUCAUCAACCAACUCGGGGGGAUUGGAGAUCCUGACAAUUUGGGGGCUCGUCCGGGAUGAGAGGUUUUCCUGCACAGGCGGAUUCGAUCUAACACCUGCUGAACGCGACGUACUCCCAGGUCGGCCUCAAAAUAAGUCCUACGAAAGAGAGUAAAAAGGCCAUGGCAUCCAGUUUGGUUCAAUCAUUUCCCAGCUUGAGAGACUCCUCAAACAGUGGCAGCGAAAUAUGGUACACCCCAGAACGGAACCACCGGCCAGCUACUGGAUUCCUGGAGGAAAGGCUGCGGAACAUACGAAAGAGACUGAGAUCAAUCGGCAGGUCUCCAAGGGCAGCACAGACUCAAAUGCCAGACGAUUGCACUCUUGAAAGGGCUCUCAUACCAGAAUGUAACAUAUCAGAGGAACGUGCGUCACAAUUUAAAGAAUGGUUGAGAAACAAUUCUCAGCCCCUCAGUCAGGUAGAGCCUACAUGCGGGACACGGCAGUCUACAGGGCCAAGUGCAUUAGGGACAACGACUGGACCAUCGAUCGGGGCUGCAUCAAAGUUGUUUGAAACCUGACUACCCAUUUAUGUUGAGAAGAUCUUGCACCUGGCAAGACUGGAGAGGAAGUUGGCAUUGCCCCUGGAUGGAUUAACUACAGGUAAUAUAUUCUUGUUUGCAGACCUUGCAAAUGUCAAUGUUGGUUUGUGUCAAUGUAAGGUUUCCCCCAGAGAAGCCGGUCUCGCUCACUAGGCUACACUUGUCCAACCAGGGGAGAAAGCUUUCAACGGGGACACUAGCCUAGCUGGGGAACACGUUACUCUGCCCUGAACUAUUGACCGAGGUAACAACUCAAACAACUGGACUAAGACAGGGUCUUAUUCUCAGUAGGGGGGCCUCAGUAGGCUUUGGCUCUCAGUGUGUACUGACAUGUCUCUGGUCUAACAGUAUGUGCUGUGUGUGUGUGUGUGGAUUCUGCAGGGAGGGAAUUGGCUGCAUGUAACAGCAUAGGUUUUAUUUUAGUUGGAUACUGAAUGACAAAAUCACAGGUGGCAUUCCACAUCAUAUUGAUACCUAAAAUGUCUUCCUACAGAUGCUGUUGGUGAACUUGCCUUGAGGCAAUUACCAGCCUUGCUUCCUCCUUUGUCUUACAAAGUUGGCCGUGGCCGCGGUGCAAAAAUGGUUCGCCACACAACUGAGGAAUGCAGCAUUGCAUUCAUUGACCAUAAGCCUCCUGGAACGAACAUGGUUCGAGGCCAAGGUAUCCAGACCGCACCCGUAUGUACUGACACUGGGAAACGACAAACAUCAAGCAUCCCAGGCCUUUGUCAUCAUUGCUGGACAGGCUCUGGUACACGACACACUGCUUCAGGCAAUCGAUGUCUGCUUCAAGGCAUUCUUUGUGUUGGAUAUCAAAUACCCGAAGCAAUGUGAACAUGUGUGGGAAUUCCUGCAGACUGUUGUUUAUAAAAUGCCAGGAGCGGGUUCCAAGUUAGUCAAGUUCCUCCAAAGUCGAUUACUUGCAAGUAGAGCCUCAAGGACAGCUUAUUAGUAAAAAUGAACACUUGUUAGACUUGUUUUUUUACGAUAAUAAACUGAGUGUCUCUUUGUGGACACAACAAGAGA